rnacentral:RNase_P_RNA from 1 species
CGAUCUAUCGCUUCAUAGAAAUAUGGGGAGGAAAGUCCGGACAACAGAGAGCGUCCUGUCCCGAUUUACUUCGGGAUCUUUGAGAGUAAAUCUCAGGGCAAGAAAGUGCCGCAGAAACAAAACCGUCCCGCACAUAUUUUUGUGCGGGAUAAGGGUGAAAACGUGAGGUAAGAGCUCACGGUUACGAUAAGCAACUAUCGCAAUAGGGUAAACCUCAGGAGUUGCAAUGCCGCAUAGUGAAUGGCUGCUCGUCUCACUUUAAUGUGAAAUCCACUGGUAGGCAGCGUAGAUAAAUGAUAGAUAUACCCCGAAAAUUGUUUGGGGUGAAACAGAAUCCGGCUUAUGCCGA